UCAUUCUGGGGUUAUGUGCUUUUUUUGUCCCUGAGUUUUCCUCUUCCUGUGUGUGUUCAGGGUUCAGCGGCGGUGCUCCAGAGACGGUCAGAGAAUGAAGAGUUUGUGGAGGUGGGCAGACUGGGGCCCUCCGACUAUUUUGGUGAGAUCGCCCUGUUGAUGAACCGUCCCCGUGCUGCCACCGUGGUCUCCCGCGGCCCUCUGAAGUGUGUGAAGCUGGACCGCCCACGGUUCGAACGCGUUCUGGGGCCCUGCUCAGACAUCCUGAAGAGGAACAUUCAGCAGUACAACAGCUUCGUCUCUCUCUCCGUCUGAGUCCCUCCGUUUCUCUCUCUCUCUGUCCCUCCAUUAUUCUAUCGCUCCAACCCGCCCUCCUUUGGCCCCCCCCGGCUCCUCCCUCCUUUGCCCCCUCCAGCUCCUCCCUCCUUCCUUUGCCCCCCCCCAGCUCCUCCCUCCUUUGGACUAGAGACACCAUGAGUCUGUCCUGGUUAGGAUCCACAAGACCUUGUAAUGUCUGGACUAGAGACACCAUGAGUCUGUCCUGGUUAGGAUCCACAAGACCUUGUAAUGUCUGGACUAGAGACACCAUGAGUCUGUCCUGGUUAGGAUCCACAAGACCUUGUAAUGUCUGGACUAGAGACACCAUGAGUCUGUCCUAGUUAGGAUCCACAAGACCUUGUAAUGUCUGGACUAGAGACACCAUGAGGUUGCUCACAAUGGACCAUGAUGUCCAUGAUGUCACAAAGAAAUGUUCCUUUGUGACUUGUAAGGAAGAGAGAAGGAUUGAAUUGGAACCAGUGAAUGUGUCGUGACAUUAAGGAUAUUGUGUCGUGACAUUAAGGAUAUUGUGUCGUGACAUUAAGGAUAUUGUGUCGUGACAUUAAGGAUAUUGUGUCGUGACAUUAAGGAUAUUGUGUCGUGACAUUAAGGAUAUUGUGUCGUGACAUUAAGGAUAUUGUGUCGUGACAUUAAGGAUAUUGUGUCGUGACAUUAAGGAUAUUGUGUCGUGACAUUAAGGAUAUUGUGUCGUGACAUUAAGGAUAUUGUGUCGUGACAUUAAGGAUAUUGUGUCGUGACAUUCCUAAUGUCUGGGAUAAGUGUAAAGUGACUUGGGAAAGUGGCAGGGAGAUAAUCUUCAGAGAAAUGUUGUUUUGAAUAGAUCUCCACCAAAGGCUGAUCGGUGUUCUUAUACUUCUUAUAGUUGUUUUCUGGAAUGUUCUUUGAGGGUACUUAGAAGCUGUGGUUUUUACACCAUGAUGUUGAGGGAGGGUGUCCCAGGUCCAGGGGUGUGGCUGCUCUCUCCCUAUUGGCUGUGGUUUUUACACCAUGAUGUUGAGGGAGGGUGUCCCAGGUCCAGGGGUGUGGCUGCUCUCUCCCUAUUGGCUGUGGUUUUUACACCAUGAUGUUGAGGGAGGAUGUCCCCGGUCCAGGGGUGUGGCUGCUCUCUCCCUAUUGGCUGUGGUUUUUACACCAUGAUGUUGAGGGAGGGUGUCCCAGAUCCAGGGGUGUGGCUGCUCUCUCCCUAUUGGCUGUGGUUUUUACACCAUGAGGUUGAUGUUGAGGGAGGGUGUCCCAGGUCCAGGGGUGUGGCUGCUCUCUCCCUAUUGGCUGUGGCUUUUACACCAUGAUGUUGAAGGAGGGUGUCCCAGAUCCAGGGGUGUGGCUGCUCUCUCCCUAUUGGCUGUGGAUUUUACACCAUGAUGUUGUGGGAGGGUGUCCCAGGUCCAGGGGUGUGGCUGCUCUCUCCCUAUUGGCUGUGGUUUUUACACCAUGAUGUUGAGGGAGGGUGUCCCAGGUCCAGGGGUGUGGCUGCUCUCUCCCUAUUGGCUGUGGUUUUUACACCAUGAUGUUGAGGGAGGGUGUCCCAGGUCCAGGGGUGUGGCUGCUCUCUCCCUAUUGGCUGUGGUUUUUACACCAUGAUGUUGAGGGAGGGUGUCCCAGAUCCAGUUAGAAUAACUUCCAUCUCUCUACCCCCCUCUAAUAAUAUAAUAAUAUAAUAAUAAUAGAUGCCAUUUAGCAGACGCUUUUAUCCAAAGCGACUUACAGUCAUGUGUGCAUACAUUCUACGUAUGGGUGGUCCC